UAUCCUAUAUAAACAGCAGCACAAGGAUCCAACUAAACACCACAAGAACGACCAAAAAUACAAUAGGAGGAGGAAUCAAGGAAAUAGUAAAAAACUUCGUUAUGGCUCUAAUCAACUCAAGGUUUGUGUGCUUGAUGGCUCUUUUGCUGAUUUCGACCGCUUGCUUGUCGAGUCAAGUAUCAGGGACGAACAACAUAGGUACAUUUCUUUCCAGGAGAGCUUAUCAACUUUAUAGGAAAAUUCGUGGUUUCCGGGAGCCAGAUUUUAUCCUUUUGCUUGAUUUUCCUGUCUCCAAUGGUAUUAGUUGGAAAUAAUAUUUCUACCACUUUUAUAAUUAAAGGCCGAUUUUUAUCUUUGAGGGUGCUUAUGAAUUACAGAGAAGUCUUUGAACAUUUAUUUUUGUAGUAAUACCUAGAGCAGGAAUUGGUUAAUUUUUGUAGUUCUUUGAACCUUUAUUUGUACUAUCUUUUAAUUUAUAAAAUGCGCCAUAUUACUUUUUGUUCUACGGUUUGGGCUUCCAAAGAAAAACAGAGAAGUCUGAAUCUAUUGCAUGGCCUGCUGCACCCAUGGAUACAGUACAGACAAGUCUGAAUCUAUUGCAUGUUUUUGUUGGAUGGUACAUUCUGUUGCUUUUAGUUGUCUUCAAAGUUGACAUUCCUCAUACUGCAAAUAUAAACUGAUUACUCAAGUUAUUCGAUCUAAAUUCUAGCAAUGGCAUGAUUGUUUUGCCCAUGUUUCAUACAGUACUUAGUACCCCUUUACUGCCGCGCUAGAUAUCUUAAUACAUGUUUUUGAUAGUAGUCUUGAACUGCCGAUGGGAUAUAACAUACCACUAGUUGGUUGUGCCCGUUUUUCUAUUUGCGCGCCUCUUGUAUCUUGAUAUUUUCCUAAUACUGCAUUUUUUCCAUAGCAUCUGAGUUUAACUACGAACUGAUCUCGGCUGUGAUUCACUUUUUUAUUUUGACUUUCAUAGGUAUAAAAGCCAACGCGUGGGCGGGCCGUGAACCCUACCAGUACAAUUGUAUGCCUGAAGGCUGUGUUGUUGCCUGCAAAAAACUGGGCUGCGGAACAGGGGUUUGCCAUAAAGACGGUAGUUGCUAUUGCAGCUAGAUAAGACUGCUCAGUCCGCAGUGGUUGCUCUAAUUUGUAGCAAGAAAAAGACCCAGAAUGAGCUUAGGACAUAAUGUUGCGUUGUCUUUGAUUCCUGGAAUAAGUUAAAUGGAGAUUCUUUAUUUUCAUGUGCUCUCCCUUAUCAUGGUUCUUUUUAAUGAAAAAAAUUGGUGGUCUUGUGGCUUCUCGUUUAAAAA
rnacentral:lncRNA from 1 species